CCUAACAAAAAAACCCAGCGAACUUCCAGCGAAAGUUCGCUGGAAAUUAAAAGAUCACUGGAAAUUUACUAAGAUCACUGGGUUUUCGCUGGAUUUUCAUGGAAACAAAAGACUUGGCUGGAAGUUCGCUGGAAAUCCAACGAAAAACUUCCAGUGAUCUUAAAGUUCGCUGGAAGUUUACUGGGUUUCAUGCGAAACUCAGUAAUAACCCAAUAAUAUUUCAAAUUUUUGUAUAAAGGAAGUCCUUUUUAUUUUUUAUUUUUUGCAUCUAAUAGAUGAUCUAUAGUGCGAGUUUCAAUUAUUAUUAGUUCUACUCAAGUUACAAAACAAAAUCAUCUGCUCUAAAGACCCAAACCGAAAAGAAUGCCUAAAGUGGUUUUCAAAAGAUGAAUUGACAAAUUUCUUAAUUCUUUUUGUUUCGUUGUGAUAAUUUGUCAUAUGAGAACGCUAACAAGAAAAAACUUUUUAAAUAUAGAAACAUGCGUAAUAUAAAAUAAAGAUCUACAAUACAUUUACUUAUGCCUAUAAAAAAAUAUAUGUUUUACAUUAAUUAAUAAAUUAACUUUUUAGUUUUUUGUUAAAAAUUGUAUUCUGUAUUAAAGUUUAUUUCUGAGAAUUUGUAAUUAUACCUAAGAUAAUCUAAUCCUACAUUGUAUUUUAAUUUAUAAAACUCGAUAUUUUAAAAUAAAUAUAUUACUUUUUUA